rnacentral:rRNA from 1 species
GAUGAACGCUGGCGGCGUGCCUAAUACAUGCAAGUCGAGCGAACAGAUGAGGAGCUUGCUCCUCUGACGUUAGCGGCGGACGGGUGAGUAACACGUGGAUAACCUACCUAUAAGACUGGGAUAACUUCGGGAAACCGGAGCUAAUACCGGAUAAUAUAUUGAACCGCAUGGUUCAAUAGUGAAAGACGGUUUUGCUGUAACUUUAAAAUGGAUCCGCGCCGCAUUAGCUAGUUGGUAAGGUAACGGCUUACCAAGGCAACGAUGCGUAGCCGACCUGAGAGGGUGAUCGGCCACACUGGAACUGAGACACGGUCCAGACUCCUACGGGAGGCAGCAGUAGGGAAUCUUCCGCAAUGGGCGAAAGCCUGACGGAGCAACGCCGCGUGAGUGAUGAAGGUCUUCGGAUCGUAAAACUCUGUUAUUAGGGAAGAACAAAUGUGUAAGUAACUAUGCACGUCUUGACGGUACCUAAUCAGAAAGCCACGGCUAACUACGUG